rnacentral:rRNA from 1 species
AUUGAACGCUGGCGGCAGGCCUAACACAUGCAAGUCGAGCGGAGCGGCGGACGGGUGAGUAAUGCCUAGGAAUCUGCCUGGUAGUGGGGGAUCACGUCCGGAAACGGGCGCUAAUACCGCAUACUAUCAGAUGAGCCUCGGUCGGCGUCGCCAGUUGGUGGGGUAAAGGCCUACCAGGGCGUCGAGCCGUAACUGGUCUGAGAGGAUGAUCAGUCGCCCUGGAGCUAGGACGCGGUCCAGACUCCUACGGGAGGCAGCGGUGGGGAAUAUUGGGCAAUGAGCGGGAGCCUGUACCAGCCAUGCCGCGAGUGUGGAAAAGGUCUUCGGCUUGUAGAGCACGUUAAGUUGUGGGGCGUUACCAACAGAAUAAGCACCGGCUAACUACGUGCCAGCAGCCGCGGUAAUAC